GAUGAACGCUAGCGGCAGGCUUAAUACAUGCAAGUCGAGCGGUAACAGGUGUAGCAAUACAUGCUGACGAGCGGCAGACGGGUGAGGAACACGUACGCAACUUUCCUCAAACCGGGCGACAACCUUGAGAAAUCAGGGCUAAUUCCCACUAACAUUGCGAGAGGGCAUCUGAUUGCAAUUAAAGAUUCGUCGGUUUGAGAUGGGCGUGCGUUCGAUUAGCUAGUUGGUAGGGUAACGGCUUACCAAGGCAACGAUCGAUAGCUGGUGUGAGAGCACGACCAGCCACACGGGCACUGAGAUACGGGCCCGACUCCUACGGGAGGCAGCAGU
rnacentral:rRNA from 1 species